UACGGAGGGUGCAAGCGUUAUCCGGAUUCACUGGGUUUAAAGGGUGCGUAGGUGGGCAGGUAAGUCAGUGGUGAAAUCUCCGGGCUUAACCCGGAACUGCCGUUGAUACUAUCUGUCUUGAAUAUAGUGGAGGUGAGCGGAAUAUGUCAUGUAGCGGUGAAAUGCUUAGAUAUGACAUAGAACACCCAUUGCGAAGGCAGCUCGCUACACUAAUCAUUGACACUGAGGCACGAAAGCGUGGGGAUCAAACAGG
rnacentral:rRNA from 1 species